UACUUGCCAUCUAAGGAAAGAAAGGUGCCAAUAUUACACAGCAAGUUUCAGCGACUACGCCAAGUACUAUGCACUUGUCUGCUACGGCCCAGGCAUCCCCAUUUCCACCCUUCAUGAUGGACGCACUGAUCAAGCUACAUCACAUUGUUGCCACGUAUGAACGCCCUGAAAUUUGGAGGCUCUUUCCAUUUUCAACUGCUAUCAAGACAGUCCUCCUCUAUCCUGUAUUUGUGAUAUUGGUUCAAAAUAGUUCACAUCUCAAAGACGACCAGUUUUGCUCGCAGCAGAGUUGUCCAAGUAUCUAAUUGCUCUGAUACUCUUCCUGCUGGCUCUCCAUUAUCUUUUGAUUUACUAUUAAACAACAUUAUAGGGUUGGAGUUGUUGGAGGCCAGGGACAAUGAGGCAGAUGCCACUUUCUUCAGCACUCAUGCCUGCGAUUGUCCCUGGACAGCUUUGGUGACAAGUCAGGAGACUGCCUUGGGAUUACUUUGGCUGUCAGCUCAAUGGCUCAAGUGUAGGUGAAAAUAACAAGAAAAAAAAACAAAAACAGAAUCAAUUUGGGAACUCUGGACAGGACAGGCAUUGUGAUAAUGGGACUGUGAAUUUAGUUUCAUUUUAAGGUUUUUUUUGAAACCUUGUGUCUAAUAAGGAAAUACUUUUAAGAAUAACAGAUUAUAUUUCUUAAUUUGACCAUCUCAGUCAGUGAGAUUGAUUUCAAGUCGACAAGGUUUUGUUUUAAUAGAAAUCACUAUUAGC
rnacentral:lncRNA from 10 species